GCGUGGACGCCAGUCUGCGUGGAGCCGACCUUGAAAUACCACCCUUUAAUGUUUGAUGUUCUAACGUGGAUCCGUAAUCCGGGUUGCGGACAGUGUCUGGUGGGUAGUUUGACUGGGGCGGUCUCCUCCUAAAGAGUAACGGAGGAGCACGAAGGUUGGCUAAUCCUGGUCGGACAUCAGGAGGUUAGUGCAAUGGCAUAAGCCAGCUUGACUGCGAGCGUGACGGCGCGAGCAGGUGCGAAAGCAGGUCAUAGUGAUCCGGUGGUUCUGAAUGGAAGGGCCAUCGCUCAACGGAUAAAAGGUACUCCGGGGAUAACAGGCUGAUACCGCCCAAGAGUUCAUAUCGACGGCGGUGUUUGGCACCUCGAUGUCGGCUCAUCACAUCCUGGGGCUGAAGUAGGUCCCAAGGGUAUGGCUGUUCGCCAUUUAAAGUGGUACGCGAGCUGGGUUUAGAACGUCGUGAGACAGUUCGGUCCCUAUCUGCCGUGGGCGCUGGAGAACUGAGGGGGGCUGCUCCUAGUACGAGAGGACCGGAGUGGACGCAUCACUGGUGUUCGGGUUGUCAUGCCAAUGGCACUGCCCGGUAGCUAAAUGCGGAAGAGAUAAGUGCUGAAAGCAUCUAAGCACGAAACUUGCCCCGAGAUGAGUUCUCCCUGAGACUUAGAGUCUCCUGAAGGAACGUUGAAGACGACGACGUUGAUAGGCCGGGUGUGUAAGCGCAGCGAUGCGUUGAGCUAACCGGUACUAAUGAACCGUGAGGCUUAACCUUACAACGCCGAAG
rnacentral:rRNA from 1 species